UCUACGGAGAGUUUGAUUCUGGCUCAGAACGAACGCUGGCGGCGUGGAUAAGACAUGCAAGUCGAACGCUGAUUGAAGGGUAGCAAUAUUCUUCAGUCGGAGUGGCGCAAGGGUGCGUAACACGUGGGCAAUCUACCGCGAAGACCGGAAUAACCUGCUGAAAGGCGGGCUAAUGCCGGAUGUGACUGUCUGAAGGAAUCUUCGGACACUCAAAGUUGGGGACCGUAAGGCCUGACACUUCGCGAUGAGCCCGCGGCCUAUCAGCUAGUUGGCGGGGUAACGGCCCACCAAGGCUAAGACGGGUAGCUGGUCUGAGAGGACGACCAGCCACACUGGAACUGAGACACGGUCCAGACACCUACGGGUGGCAGCAGUCGAGAAUUUUUCACAAUGGGCGAAAGCCUGAUGGAGCGACGCCGCGUGGGGGAUGAAGGGCUUCGGCUCGUAAACCCCUGUCAUUCGAGAACAAACCCUACGAUUUAACAGAUCGUGGGCUGAUAGUAUCGGAAGAGGAAGGGACGGCUAACUCUGUGCCAGCAGCCGCGGUAAUACAGAGGUCCCAAGCGUUGUUCGGAUUUACUGGGCGUAAAGGGUGCGUAGGCGGCGAGGAAAGUUUGAGGUGAAAUCUCCAGGCUCAACUUGGAAAAUGCCUUGAAGACUUCCUUGCUCGAGGGUCGUAGAGGAGACUGGAAUUCUCGGUGUAGCAGUGAAAUGCGUAGAUAUCGAGAGGAACACCAGUGGCGAAAGCGGGUCUCUGGACGACACCUGACGCUGAGGCACGAAAGCCAGGGGAGCAAACGGGAUUAGAUACCCCGGUAGUCCUGGCCCUAAACGGUGCGCACUUGCUGUGAGUAGAUUUAAAACCUACUCGUGGCGUAGUUAACACGUUAAGUGCGCCGCCUGAGGAGUACGGUCGCAAGAUUAAAACUCAAAGAAAUUGACGGGGGCCUGCACAAGCGGUGGAGUAUGUGGCUUAAUUCGAUGCAACGCGAAGAACCUUACCUGGUCUUGACAUGCAAGUAGUAGAAGCCUGAAAGGGUGACGAGGUAGCAAUACCAGCUUGCACAGGUGCUGCAUGGCUGUCGUCAGCUCGUGUCGUGAGAUGUUGGGUUAAGUCCCGCAACGAGCGCAACCCCUGUGUCCUGUUGCCAGCCUCGCAAGAGGGGAACUCUGGACAGACUGCCCCGCUUCAACGGGGAGGAAGGUGGGGAUGACGUCAAGUCAGUAUGGCCCUUACGACCAGGGCUGCACACGUACUACAAUGCCCGGUACAGUGGGCUGCAAACCAGCAAUGGGGAGCAAAUCCUAAAAACCGGGCCCAGUUCAGAUUGUCGGCUGCAACUCGCCGGCAUGAAGCUGGAAUCGCUAGUAAUGGCGCAUCAGCUACGGCGCCGUGAAUACGUUCCCAGGCCUUGUACACACCGCCCGUCACAUCAUGAAAGCCGGUUGUACCCGAAGCCGCUGAGCCAACCGCAAGGGGGCAGGCGUCUAAGGUAUGGCUGGUGAUUGGGAUGAAGUCGUAACAAGGUAGCCGUAGGGGAACCUGCGGCUGGAUCACCUCCUUU
rnacentral:rRNA from 1 species